rnacentral:rRNA from 1 species
AGUUUGAUCAUGGCUCAGAACGAACGCUGGCGGCAGGCUUAACACAUGCAAGUCGAACGCGUGUAGCAAUACACGAGUGGCGCACGGGUGAGUAACACGUGGAUAUCUGCCUUUUGGUUCGGAAUAACCCUGGGAAACUAGGGCUAAUACCGAAUGGUUCCUACGGGAUAAAGAUUUAUCGCCAAAAGAUGAGUCCGCGUCCGAUUAGCUAGUUGGUGAGGUAAUGGCUCACCAAGGCGACGAUCGGUAGCUGGUCUGAGAGGACGAUCAGCCACACUGGGACUGAGACACGGCCCAGACUCCUACGGGAGGCAGCAGUGGGGAAUAUUGGACAAUGGGGGCAACCCUGAUCCAGCAAUGCCGCGUGGGCGAUGAAGGCCUUCGGGUUGUAAAGCCCUUUUGCACGCGACGAUGAUGACGGUAGCGUGAGAAGAAGCCCCGGCUAACUUCGUGCCAGCAGCCGCGGUA